UCCGUAGGCGGGCGUCUAAGUCAGUGGUGAAAUCUUACAGCUCAACUGCAAAAUUGCCAUUGAUACUGGAUGUCUUGAAUUAGUGUGAAGUGGUUAGAAUGUGUAGUGUAGCGGUGAAAUGCAUAGAUAUUACACAGAAUACCAAUUGCGAAGGCAGAUCACUAACACUAUAUUGACGCUGAGGGACGAAAGCGUGGGGAGCGAACAGGAUUAGAUACCCUGGUAGUCC
rnacentral:rRNA from 1 species